rnacentral:rRNA from 1 species
CCUACGGGAGGCAGCAGUAGGGAAUAUUGCUCAAUGGGGGAAACCCUGAAGCAGCAACGCCGCGUGGAGGAUGAAGGUUUUCGGAUUGUAAACUCCUUUUGUUAGAGAAGAUAAUGACGGUAUCUAACGAAUAAGCACCGGCUAACUCCGUGCCAGCAGCCGCGGUAAUACGGAGGGUGCAAGCGUUACUCGGAAUCACUGGGCGUAAGGAGCGCGUAGGCGGGAUAGCAAGUCAGAUGUGAAAUCCUAUGGCUUAACCAUAGAACUGCAUUUGAAACUGUUAUUCUAGAGUAUGGGAGAGGUAGGUGGAAUUCUUGGUGUAGGGGUAAAAUCCGUAGAGAUCAAGAGGAAUACUCAUUGCGAAGGCGACCUGCUAGAACAUAACUGACGCUGAUGCGCGAAAGCGUGGGGAGCAAACAGGAUUAGAUACCCUAGUGUC